AUUGAACGCUGGCGGCGUGCUUAACACAUGCAAGUCGUGCGGUAACAGGCGUAGCAAUACGUGCUGACGAGCGGCGAACGGGUGCGUAAUACAUGGGAAUCUGCCUUUUAGUGGGGAAUAACCCGGCGAAAGCCGGGCUAAUGCCGCAUAAGAUCUUCGGAUGAAAGCGGGGGAUCGUAAGACCUCGCGCUGAUAGAUGAGCCCAUGCCGGAUUAGCAGUUGGUGAGGUAACGGCUCACCAAGGCGACGAUCCGUAGCUGGUCUGAGAGGACGGCCAGCCACACUGGGACUGAGACACGGCCCAGACUCCUACGGGAGGCAGCAGUGGGAAUAUUGGAC
rnacentral:rRNA from 1 species